AUCAUAUGUUUACCAUCUGAUUGUACAAGGUACUCAGUACCAAGGCAAAAGUUAUAAAGGCAUGCAGGCAGAAAUGGCUGGAUACAUGUGCCUGACCUGUCAGAAUUAUGAAGGAAAGGGAAAAGCUGUGCAGAAAAACUACAAAAUGUGGCCAUGAAGAGAUCUGUGGAAAGAAAGAGAUCUGCAGAGAGAAAAGAAAAUGUCAUUUAAAAACAUAACUAAUGUUACUGACAUUACUAAUAACAGAAAGGGCUUCAAAUCAUUUAAGCACUUCUCUAACAUGAAUUCUUCACGAUCGCCUGUAAGCAGCCAUAGCAAAGGAUUCCAACAGCCAGCGAGCCAGCUUUCAACUGUGCCUCAGCUGGAAGAUGUUUUGAAAUCUGCCAACUUGCCUCCUCGGGGUAAGGUUUGGGAAUUUUGUGUUUUUGUUUUUAAAUAAGUUUCAGACCUUUGUCUUAUUGUGGACUAACAGAGCUCCACUGAAGUCUAGCACAGCAUCAAAGGCAUUUAGAUAUGUACAGAUACAAAUAAAUAGCAGAAUUUUAAGCA